rnacentral:rRNA from 1 species
AGACUGAUAGCAAACAAGUACCGUGAGGGAAGAUUGAAAAGAACUUUGAAGAGAGAGUUCAAUAGUACGUGAAACUGUGUGGUGGUAAACGGAGGGGUUCUCGAAGUUUCUGAGGGGAACUCAACCUUGGUGUCGGGCGGUCAGGGCGUAUCUGAUCAGCAAUGACUGUGCGUUUUGUCUGGCUUGGCUCUCGGGUGCAUUUCCCCCUCAGUUUACGGCAGGAACCGUUUGGCACGGACCGAAGGCCUCGGGUGAAGUUGUCGCUUAUGGUGGCAGCCCUGGGUGUCCUGGCUCUGAGCCCGACGGGUAUGUGAGAGGACUCGUAUAGCGAGCAAUGCUCUGUUGCGGUUCUCAUCUCUCUGCCGAGUAGGUCGGUGGCCCCUCCGACCCGUCUUGAAACACGGAC